rnacentral:rRNA from 1 species
UACGUAGGGACCGAGCGUUGUCCGGAUUCAUUGGGCGUAAAGAGCUCGUAGGCGGCUGUUCAAGUCGAACGUGAAAACUCGGAGCUCAACUCCGAGCCUGCGUUCGAUACUGGACGGCUAGAGUCUGGUAGGGGGAUCUGGAAUUCCAGGUGUAGCGGUGAAAUGCGUAGAUAUCUGGAGGAACACCGGUGGCGAAGGCGGCAUCCUGGACCGGCAUUGACGCUGAGGCGCGAAAGCUAGGGGAGCAAACGGG